GUGGAACAGUCUUGUUAUGGAGUGCCAGCUUAGAGGUUGUUGCAAACUUGUCUAGAAGUGAGAGCAUGGUUUUUUUUAGCCCUUUGAGAGUCUACAUCUAAUGAACAUUCUUGCUCACCCAUAAAUAACGUCAAGCCUCAAUGUCACCGUCACGUUGGGAUACUCUUUCUCAUCUGGCAUCCUAGACAGGACAAGGUUGGUUACCUUUCCUUCCAUGAACCAUGAACCUGUGACGGCAUCAUUCAUCCUGACUUCACCAAGCUCCGCCUGUGGGUGAGGCCAGAGCUCCCACUGGCAAUUUUUAGAAGAGCCAGAGGCUCCCUGCUUCCUCUAGAAAUAACAGUUCAGGGUGAAGCAUGGAGGGUUUCAGUUCCCAGACAAUGGAACCAUUUAGAGACAACACAGUUGGACAUUUCCACUUUUUCCUUGAUUCCUGGAAGUCCAGUGGGUUCUGCAGCUGAAAAAGCCCUGGGUCCCAGCAGCAGAGAGACAGGACAGAGGGGAUGCUUGGGCGGGGAGGGACGGUAACCUGCAGAACAGAUUCCAUUUUUAUAGAACGAGUACACGUUUGCUAAAACAGUCCUGCUUUCCCAGACUGGAUUCCCACCACAGGGACAGUCGGAACUCAGGACUAGCUCCAGCGACAUCUUUCCUCCGAAUUCAAGCCUUCUAUCACAAUGUCAAAACAGCUAUUUAUAAAGCCAUUUUCAUUGUACUUGAUAACAGCACGAGUCCCAAAACUUUUAGAAAUAAAAUAGGACAUUGGCUUGAUUGAAAAGAGGGACUUUUUAAAAAUUGUUCUUUCGUCAGAAGCCUUUUGGAUGACUUACAAUAGCUCUGAUGAAGAUACCACCCCAGCGUCAGUCCAAUAGGUCAGUGAGUUUCAACAGGCAUCCAUCCCUCCCAUGAAGGGAUUCUGGUGAUGGGAAGUUUCUGUAAUGACAGGAAAGCAUUGACCCUCAUUGAUUGUCAACUUUGGUAUUAGCCAUGAAAGACAGGAUGCUCAUUGGGUGUUCUGUAGAGUGAGGAAUGCUGCCUAUUCCCUCCCAGAACGUCUGACCCAGGGGUGUGUGUUGAGGAGCCCUGGGGGAAAUGGACCAAGUUUUCCCACAGAGCAGUAUUAGGCUGAAGAGCAGGUGACUGGUAGGCCCCAGCUCCCAUCAUUCCCUCCCAAAGCCAUUUUGUUCAGUUGCUCAUCCACGCUGGAUUCCAGAGAGUUUUCCAAUUUGGGAAGCCAUGAGAAAGGUUUUUAAAUCUUGGGAAGAUGGAGAGAGGGACAUAGGAUAGUUGACUCCAACAUGACAGGAAGAGGCUGGAGAUUGGGAAUUGGCCAUCAACCAAGCCUGUAGUAGUAAAGCCAUGGUCCCGCAUUGGAAUUACUUGGGGAACUUAUACAGUUCUGAUACCCAGGCUCUCCUAGACCAGUUCAACCAAUUCUAGGUGGGGGACUCAGGCAUCAGUGUGUUUCGUAGCUCCCCGGGUGUUUUCCCUGUGCAGCCGAGCUUGGGAAACUGCCAUGCUUUUUGGAUGUCAAGGCGCUGUUGGAGGCUGGGUGUGACAGCACAGAGCCAGGUUGUCUUGUGGAAACCACAGCCACGGGUUUGCCACUGGCUCAGCAUGGCCUCACUGCCAGUCCCAGCCUGGCUGAGGGACAAGAUGGUUUCUCUUGGGAGUUCCUGAGUGGAGCACCCUUCCAGGCUUUUUGAAAGCCAGCUGAUCUGUGGAGCCUUGUUAAGGGACUCAAUACGGUGUUUGGAUAUUGAUGUUUUUCCUUGAGACUGUCUUGUCCAUCAAUAAAGAUGGAGGAUGUCUCCUCUUUGAACCCCGCUUCCCCACCAGUACUCUCUCUCCCUUAGAGUUUAUGAGUUAUUCAAGGAGGAGACUUCUUAAAGACAGCAACGCAAUUCUUGUAACUUGUGUAAAUAGCCCCAUCUUUCAGAGUGAUACCAUUUCUACAUUUGAUAAUGCCUGUAUUCCUGUAGGAUGUAUAUAGUUUAGGGGAUUUUUUUUUUGUUUGGUUUUGUUUUUUAGAAGUCAAUAUGUCUGGUUUUAUUUAUUGCUUGAAAAAGAUCAUUUGAAAAAAAUAAAUACAUUUUCAACCAC
rnacentral:lncRNA from 1 species